rnacentral:rRNA from 1 species
UACGUAGGCAGCAAGCGUUGUUCGGAGUUACUGGGCGUAAAGGGUGUGUAGGCGGUUGGAUAAGUGUGGUGUGAAAUCUCCCGGCUUAACUGGGAGGGUGCGCUACAAACUGUCUGACUAGAGUGUGGGAUGGGUAAGUGGAAUUCCUGGUGUAGCGGUGAAAUGCGUAGAUAUCAGGAGGAACACCGGUGGCGAAGGCAAUCCCCUGGACCUGUACUGACGCUCAUGCACGAAAGCCGUGGGGAGCAAACAGG